rnacentral:rRNA from 1 species
AAAGCUCGUAGUUGAAUUUCGGGAUUGACGCGACGGUCGUGCCUUAAGGGGCGUGAACUGUCGCCGUUGAUUUCUCACCUUCUGGAGAAGCUCGAUGUCCUUAAUUGGAUGUCUUGUGGAACCAGGACCUUUACCUUGAAAAAAUUAGAGUGUUUAAAGCAGGCAUUUUGCUCGAAUACAUUAGCAUGGAAUAAUAGAAUAGGACGGCAUGGUUCUAUUUUGUUGGUUUCUAGGAUCACCGUAAUGAUUAAUAGGGAUAGUUGGGGGCAUUAGUAUUCAAUUGUCAGAGGUGAAAUUCUUGGAUUUAUUGAAGACUAACUACUGCGAAAGCAUUUGCCAAGGAUGUUUUCAUUAAUCAAGAACGAAAGUUAGGGGAUCGAAGACGAUCAGAUACCGUCGUAGUCUUAACCAUAAACUAUGCCGACUAGGAAUCAGACGAUGUUAAUUUUUUAAUGACUCGUUUGGCACCUU